UUUCCUCAACUUUUUUCUUUGUGUUUGUCUUGAAAAAGUUUUAUCAUACUGUGCCUGGGUGUGCUUCUUGAAUAUGUAGUUUGAUGUCUUUCAUUAUGGAAAAUUCUCAGCUUUUGCCUCCUCAAAUAUUGUUUUUGCUCCUAUGAAAAAUUUUUCUUGUUUUCUUCUGAACUAUUUUUCUAGUUCACUAAUGCUCUCUAUAUCUAAUAUCCUGUAAAAAAAAAUCAUCCACCGACUCCUUAAUUUCAUUUAUUAUGUUUUUCAGUUUUAAGAUUUCCAUUUAUAUGCUGAAAUCAUCCAUUUUGUCACUUUAUCCUUAUUUAAAUUGUUAUACUAAAGUUCAGGUGUGAUAACUCCAAUAUCUGGAUCUUUGGUGGGUCUAUUCUGUUUUCUUAAUUUUCCUCUUUAUUUUCUUUCAAGUCAUGUCUUGUUAUUUGUCUUCUUAUUUGCUAUUGCAUUUCAGAUGUUGGGUAUGAGUAACUAAAAAUAAUUUGAGGCUGUGGAUGAUAUCUUCCACUAGAGAAGAUUAGUUUUACCCCCCAGGUAGUCAGAAUAGGGUGAAAUCAACUUAAUCCAAUCAGGCACAAAUCCUUAAGAGGGCUGGUGUAUUUUUGUUUUACUACUUCUUGGAGUUAGCCCUUUGGAAUCACAAAUGAAUCCCUGUUUUGUUUUGUUUUCUGUUGUUGUUUUUAACUAGGGCUUCUCCUCUUCAGCGGGCCCUGCUCUUUAAUUUUUGUUUCUCACCACUCUGCCAAAGUCUAACUUCUGAAUGCUCUGCUAAACUUCUUGGCCUAUCAGACAUUUGUUUUGUUUUAAAUUGUCACUAUCCUUGUGGGAGGAAAAGCAUCCUCAUUUUCUUUCCCUCCACUCUGGGACUUUGUAAGUCCUCACUACUUAAGUGUCUUUCAGAUGCCUUCAAACAGAUUUUAAAAAUUUUGUCCAGAUUUCCUAGUUGGUCUCAGAGAAAGGUUUGGUUUGAAGCAACAUAGCCCUUGCUGAAAGCAGAAACUUCGUUUUAAGUUUUGGUUACAUAAAAAAUCAGAGCCUGUACUGUUGUUGCCAUUUACUUAUACUAGCAUUAAAAUUGUGUGUGUUCACAUGAAAGACAGUAGUGUUGCUUGAGUCCAGUGUGUUUUGAUGUAUGCUUAGGGAGGAGGUAAUUAAACAUUAAUGAAAGAAACUUGGGGAAGAUCAUCCUAUACAAACACCUUCAUGAGAAAGCUAGCAGCAUCUCUGAAGAGGAACCCAUGUCUUUCUAGCUUCAGGGUGAAGUGCAGUGAAUGGGGUAUGGAUGGAGGACAUUAAAAUGGCAAAAUCUUGUGGCCCCAAAUAAAGAUUUGGGGGUAAAACUGUUCCUGGACUCUCACUAUGCUGAAUAGGUUAAUGCUUCUGCUGAGGUCAGUGGAAUGAGUGUAGCUUGGUGCCCUCAGCUAUAAUGAGUGAUGAAAACAUUGCCUUGGAUUGUUUUUGUUUGUUUAUAAAUCAGUUUUAUGCACCCUACAAAACUGAUCCACAAAUUUCUUUCUAUUUUGUAGCUCAUUCACCAACAACUCUUGGACUCCAGCCCUUGUUACCCCAUUCAAUGACACAACUGCCAAUAAGUCAUACCUAAUUCUGUUUUCAGGGAUAGACUUGAUUAAGGAUAUAAAUUUGUCAUUUAUUAUGUAUAAAAGACCAUUGAAAAGAUAUUACUGUUAAUUUUUUAUUUAACACCUAAAGCAUUUCCAACAUCACUUUGCUGCCCAGGUAUGUAUCUAUAGUUGGCCUGCAAGACACUUUUAUUGAUUCUUCAUUUUUUGUAAAACUUAUGUUUACAAGAAGAAAACAAAUCAAAACAUUUUUUGUAUUGUCUGGAAAUAGUUCACUCUAGUGUGUAUCUGUUAAUUUAUUUGUCAUCAAAAGAGCACUUUGCCUAAAAGAAAGGACUGACAAGUGUGCAAAAUGUUUACAAUCUUUUGUGAAAUUGUAGUUUAUCAUUAGUUUGUAUCUGUAAGUUAUUGUUAUAAAUAUUACCUGUAUUUUUUGUUAUAUACAACUUUAUACUUUGAAGCUUGUAUCUGUGAAUUUGCAACUGAAAUUUAUUUUGCCAAUGUUUUCUGAAUGAACUGAAUAAAGCUUCUGUUGUAGCAUGCCAUGCAAACACAUUAUUGUGUUUGUGGUUGAUGAAUUAUGGCUGUAAAUAACACUAUAGUUUAAUAAGCCCACCAUUCUGAGUUUAUUAAACAUUUUCCAUACUUGUGAAAAUUUC
rnacentral:sRNA from 1 species